UGUUCAUUCGCAGGUAUGGCUAAGGACUUAUGGGUCAAUUGCUUGGGCUGUUUGAAAUGCCUGAUCAUUAGAUUUUUCUUAACUAAUUCAUGCAUUGAAUCAAUUUUACAGCACUGCUACAAAUGUUGAGAUUGAGUUGCCUGUUCCAGUCGAUGCUACCAACCCAAAUGUUUGGACAUCAUUGGGAUCUGCUUCAUAUGCACCAGAAAAUGAUGCUUUGAUCUGGAAAAUUAAAUCUUUUCCUGGUGGUAAGGAAUAUAUGCUUAGAGCGGAGUAUACUCUUCCCAGUAUAACAUCUGAAGACGCAGCUCCUGAGAGAAAAGCUUCUAUACGUGUGAAGUUUGAGAUACCAUAUUUUGUUGUUUCAGGAAUCCAGGUUCGUUACCUAAAGAUUAUCGAGAAAAGCGGCUACCAAGCUCUUCCAUGUGUGAGAUACAUAACC